CUUUUACAUUUCUGUCCUGUUUGUCUGUCAAUUGUUGCUUUACUUCCUUUGUAAAAUGAGGUUAAAUUGAGUAUCACUGAAUAUUGUAUGCUUUUUUUCAGGAUCAGCUGAGAUGUUAUUUCACUGGAUUAUUUAAUGGAUAGGCUUAUUGGGCAUAUAGUUGGAUAUCUCUGUCCUCAACAUGGAAGAUAUGGUUUAUUCCUACCCAUCUAUAAUCCAUUCUCUAUGAAGUUCAGCCUGUCUGCCCUUCCUUUGGAAAUACAUAGUUAGUCAACCAACAUAGAAACAAACUUGAAGGGAAAGAAUACUACAAUGUGGCUCCUCAGGAUCAACAGUGAAAAAUUUUUAAUCAAUAAUGACCCUCCUGACUAUGUCUAAAGGCUGUAACCUUUAUAGCUGAUGAUUCUCAAUUGGGAACUCAGUAAAUUAUGCACAGACUAACAGAAUAUACUCUCUUGGAACACUGAUACAAGAAUAUAAAACCAGAGAUGGAUGGAGGACUCAAGAAGCACAUGAAUAAAUAUGAUUCCAAACUAAGUCAAUCAUGAUGAUCAUGAAUUGUGGUUCACAGGAUAAGAGAGAAAGGACCCAGGAUUGUGCAUUUUUCUAGAUCCUCUCCCAUUCAUAUCCUUCAUAUGCUGGCAUACAAAACAAUAGAUAAAUUGUAGUCAUUUAACAGACUGAAGUUUAAUCAAAUCAAA